AGAGCUCAGAUUGUGGAAUCAGAAUAUCAGAUUCAGAUCUCACCUCUGCCACUUACAGAAUAUUUGCCCUUGGGCAAGUUGCUUGGUCUCUUUCGGUGUCAGUUUCUUCUUCUCAGUAAAAGGAGGCUAAUAAUAGAGUCUGCCUUCUAAGGUUGUUGUAAGGAAUAAAGGAUAUUAAAUGCUUAGAAGGUAUGUGACACUCCCUUAGCUGUCAUCAUUAUCAUUAUUCAUUUCCCAUUCACAAUGUGCUGUUUCCUGGUUAAAUCCGUAACAUGAGGUUUUAGUAGUGGUCUUGAUUUUCCUUUUGAAGUAUUUACCCCUAAAGAUUUAUUCAAAAUUGACUGCAGUUCUUUUUAUGUACAGGUACAUUUUAAAUGUACAUGAUAUUUAACUAGACUUGAGGUUCUCUUUUUACAGUAUUUCUUAAAUACUCUCCCUCAAAUAUAUAUUUUCAUAUGGUAAUACAGAGCCAUUUUGGUGUGGGAGUGGGAGGAGCUGUGAAUUAUGACAGUUCUAAUUAAUAUAAUUUUGUCUUUAGUAAAAACAGGCCCUGGACAGCACUUAAACCACAGUGAAUUGGCAAUUCUACUAAACCUACUACAAUCUAAAACAAGUGUUAAUAUGGCUGAUUUUGUCCAAGUGUUGAACAUUAAGGUAAACUCUGAGACUCAACAGCAGCUAAAUAAAAUAAACCUUCCUGCUGGAAUUUUGGCAACAGGUGAAAAACAGACAGAUCCAUCAACACCACAACAGGAGUCUUCGAAACCGUUGGGAGGAAUUCAGCCUUCUUCUCAGACCAUCCAGCCUAAAGUGGAGACUGAUGCUGCCCAGGCGGCUGUGCAGAGUGCAUUUGCAGUUCUGUUGACUCAGUUAAUAAAGGCUCAGCAGUCAAAGCAGAAAGAUGUGCUACUAGAAGAGAGGGAAAAUGGAUCGGGACAUGAAGUGUCAUUACAACUCAGGCCACCUCCAGAACCUAGCACUCCGGUGUCGGGACAAGAUGACCUCAUCCAGCAUCAAGAUAUGAGGAUCUUGGAGCUAACGCCAGAACCAGACCGGCCUCGAAUUCUGCCUCCUGACCAACGACCUCCCGAGCCUCCUGAACCACCACCAGUCACUGAGGAAGAUCUAGAUUACCGGACAGAAAACCAGCAUGUACCCACCACCAGUUCUUCAUUAACUGACCCUCAUGCCGGAGUGAAGGCAGCCCUGUUACAGCUGCUUGCUCAGCAUCAGCCCCAGGAUGACCCCAAAAGAGAAGGUGGGAUUGAUUAUCAAGCAGGAGACACUUAUGUGUCCACUUCAGACUACAAGGACAACUUUGGAUCCUCUUCUUUCUCUUCUGCUCCUUACGUUAGCAAUGAUGGUCUAGGAAGCAGUUCUGCUCCACCACUAGAACGACGUAGUUUCAUUGGAAAUUCAGAUAUUCAGUCUUUGGAUAACUACAGUACUGCUUCAUCUCAUUCUGGUGGUCCACCUCAGCCUUCUGCCUUUUCUGAGUCAUUUCCCAGUUCAGUAGCUGGAUAUGGAGACAUUUACCUCAAUGCUGGUCCCAUGUUGUUUAGUGGAGACAAGGACCAUAGAUUUGAAUAUAGCCAUGGUCCUAUUGCAGUCCUGGCAAACAGCAGUGACCCUUCCACGGGGCCAGAGAGUACUCAUCCUUUGCCAGCAAAGAUGCACAACUAUAACUAUGGUGGUAACUUACAGGAAAAUCCGAGUGGCCCCAGCCUCAUGCAUGGACAGACCUGGACUUCUCCUGCCCAAGGACCUGGAUAUUCACAAGGAUACAGGGGACAUAUUAGCACAUCAACUGGCAGAGGCAGAGGCAGAGGGUUACCAUACUGAGUAUCUGUUUUUCCUCAGGCACAUCAUUUUUAUCUGGAAAGACUUUUCUAGCUGCAAUUUAAGGCAGCAAUCCAAGAGACUUGAAUAAUAAUAAUUCAACAACAGCUUUAUUUUUAUGUGGAGAAGGGUCUUGCAUACAAUAGUUUAAAAAAGACAAAAAAAACCUUUGCUUAAAUUCAUGCUGUUCUAAAAACUAGAUCUAUCGAUUGUACAUCUUCACAAAUUCUAGUUAACAAUUUUAUUUUGUAUUCUUGCAGUUUUAAGUGGAUGCUAAUUUUAGGGACAUAAGCCUUUUAUGGCCCUCUUGCAGAUCUUCUGAACUAUGCACAUUUGUGCUUUUUUUGUAAGUUUGGACCAACUUUUAUGUAACAAACAGCCCCUCCCCACCUCCAGUUUUACAACAAUCAGAAAGAGCACUGAUUUAUUUGGUAUUUUUCUUUUUACAAAGCUACCUUUAGUCAAAGGUCACUGUCAGUCUUUGCACCUGCUUUCAGUGUUAUUGUGAAAGGUGUACUUUGUGCUCAUUUCAGAAAAUAAAACACAACCUUUCUCUUGA
rnacentral:sRNA from 1 species